CCUGGCUCCGUGCUCCAGGUGCUGCUGUGCACAGAUCUCCACAUCCCAGGGAAGCUGUGAGACAGAAGGAACAGGGACUCAGCUGCUGCUGUGUCCCACUGAGCUCUGGCUGAAUUCUAAUCUGCUACCAUUAGAUUCACAGCCUACAGACUUGGCCUUCGACUGGCUCUUCAAAUAGAAGUUAUUUGCAUGUUUCUUCCAUUUUCACUCUGCUGCAGAACCAUCUGGCCACAGGCUGACCUUACCUGAACUUAAUUCCAGG
rnacentral:lncRNA from 1 species